GGAGGGGGAGGAGCCGAGCUACGUGACGGUGAAGACGAACAAAUGAACAGCGUUCUCGGUAUUUCGCAAGGUGCACGAAUUCUUUUAAAUUCCUACCUGUAUUCUUCAUUAUUGUUUCGUGAGGUGGUCUCAGUGUUCGCGGUCUAAUCUGCGAACUUUUAGGUGGGCAGUCGGUCCCGUGGUGGCGGGCACGAAUACCGGUCUCCCAGGAAACCUUACACCUGUGAAAUCUGUAACUGUGAGUCGAACCCCAUUUCCAUACAAGUCGCUAUUUUGAAAAUACAUGUAUUGUGAGCGUCCGCCGCAGUGAUCAUUAGCCUAUAGUCAGGAAGUACUGCUAGCGGUUGAAAUUUUAAAGUGUUGUUCUUUUAUUCUUACUUUUGCUUGAAUUUUAAAUAAAAUGUAACAUGAAUAAAUGAACAUUUAAUCUUUUAGAUACUACACAUUCUACGGUUAGUAUUUGUUUAAAUUAUUUGAACAAAAAAUAUAUUGACGAGUUCACGAGGUGGGCUAAGAAAAAAGUAUUUUUCCUUGUCACUUAAACAAGGCGAUAUAGUUCGCUUCGUUGAUAAAUAAGUAAAUUUUUAUAUCGUUGCAACAUUGAGAUCACUAUUCACUGUAGUUUUAACAUCACUUUUUAGUUUUAGAUCAUGACAUCCGCGCAUCACAAAUGUCACACGUUUUUAUCACUGCAUAAAUUAAUGUCAAACAAACAAAUGUCAAAUUUUAACCAUAACUUGCUUUUCGGAUUGUAUGGGUAGAUAUAAGCUGUCAUUUCAUAACCAACCAAAGUGCACGUGCACUGUAUUGGCAUUAAAUGUUAUUUUCAACAGAUGUCUUAUUGUUUGAGAUGAGAAUCAGUAUGCUAAAAAACUUUAAAUUAUUACAUAAUUAAAGGCGACUUUUACUAUUAUUGCAGAGGAUUUCAGCUCUGUUUUUCGUCAACAUCUUCUCGAAUAUUAAAUAUAGUCAUUUUAAAAUAUAAAUAAUAUCGAAAGAGAAAUCUAUAAUUUCUCUGGCCUAAAUCAUUUCGUGUAAUAUUUACGUAGACUUACUCCUUUCCUAACGUAUGACAUCAUCUCUCUUUCACUAUAUUGCAUUGAAUCCAAUUCUUAAUGACUUUACAAGUCACAAUGUCAACUUAUAUUAUACCAUCUCAAAAACAUAAAUAAUAAUUUAUAAUUAGUGAAGAUAAAGUAUUGCGUGACAGCUAUCUCAUACAAGAUAAUGCUCGAAAGUUCUUCAAUAUAAGAAGAAAUAGUUGUUAAUUUAAUAAUUUUCAGAAUAAUCUCUUUUGCGUAUUUUAACGCAUUUCAAAACACGUCAGAUUUGUUGAGUUAGCCUCGAAUCUAUAGCACAGAAUAACUAAUAGUACUACCGUACAGAAAAUUCACUCCUUCACAAAAGCCAGAUUUAGGUAUAAAAUUAUACCUACACUCGCCGCCUGCAAGCAAAAUUGAAACUUAUAACCGCGCACGAACCGUGAAUCUUCUUUGCGCGCCGCAGUUUUAUGACCGAGCUGCGAGUGUCGGCACGAAGUUGUCACUUGACAAGUUUUUGUACAUAUACCUACUGAUUUAUUAUUUUUAAGAUAAAUAUGUAGGAAUUACAAACGUUGAUUCUGUAAACAUAAAAUUUUUAGCCGGAGAUAGUAUGUCUGAUUCUCACGGAAGUAGGUAUGUCACAGAAGUACUUAUUCCUUUGAAAAUAUGUCGGUCAAUAUAGUCCGGAAUUUAAAAAAUAUGUUUUUUUUGCUUACUUGUUCUUCCGUUUAUUCAGACAUCCGUAAACAGAACAUUAUUUUUUAUACAGAUUAGAUCGCGAUUUAGGUUUCGAAGCCAUUGCGUAUUUUCAAUUUUGCGCGAGCGCCACGUGACACGCCUAUCGUGCGAGCCGAGCGGCAGCCCACUGCCAUACACCUUCCCGGGCGGUGCGCCGGCCAAAUAUACCUAAACUGCGCAGUGAGACCCCCCUGUCUAUAGGUAGUCAUUUUAGCGCCUUGUCACUGACGCAUUUGAGUGAAUGCCGAUAAUUUUACUGAAUUAGAGAUGGUGGUGAUAGUAAUCCGACUAAUUUGGUGGACAAACCACAGACCUGAUGUAACAAAUCGCUAAAAUGACUUGCUAUUUUUGAGACUGACUGUGUUUAAAUGCGUGGUGUUAUAUGUAAAGUCUUUAUAAUACAUUGCGAACUACGCAAUGAAAUUAAUUACAUUUAAGACAUGACUGUAUAAGUUCUUUUUAAUAUAAAGACAUGUGUCGUCUUGUACAUACGUUGUAUAUCGUGUUAUCGAUCAAAUGCCAAAUACUUUUAUUAAUUUUAAAAUACUAAUGUAUAUUUUUAAACGGUAGUAUGAUAAGUUUGUUUUUAACUGUUCGCAUGGUGAAAUACCGAAUUAGAAAUGAUGUUUUAAUGUACCCCUAUUCGGCAUCUACGUCUGAAGGAAGGCAGGCUGUGUCGUGUCCUAGAGUAUGUGUAUAUUGAAUAAUUCUGUAAUUGAUAUUAUACCUAAAUUAACAUUAGUCGAUACCCCACCAUUGCGUUGCCAUCGACAAUCCAAAACGCAAAUUAAAUUAUUAAAAAAAAAUAUAUAAAAGUAAUUUCUUAUAACGGGACAUGGAGGCAGUGUUUUCGUACAUACUCGUAAAUUGAAAGUUAUUUUACUCUCUAAAGUAUUAUGAUAUUAGUAAGUAUUACUUAUAAAUAAACUUAAAGUCCUGCGUGUCUUCUGUAUAUGUAAGUUCAUGUUCUCGUUAUAAAUCUUGACAACAAUUUCGAUGAUUUCGAAAAGAAUGAAAAUGACUGAACCACCUCGUGAUAAUGAUAAUAUUAUACAAUCAGUAUAUUUUAAAGAAGGCACGGCAGUAUUUUUAUGAUCACACUGGCUCAUGUUCUCGUUCUAAUGAAAAUUUAAAAACAAUGAAAAUAAUUAAAAGCUUUGACUAAAAUUUGAAAAGCGAAACAUAAAAUUAAUAAAAUAUUACAAAUUUGUAAGAGUAGUGUAAUGUGUACCAAAAUUAUUUCCUAUUAAUUAUAAACUUUAAUGAUCUGUAAGAAUGUCUAAGCAUUCAAACUAUGCAUUUCUUUUACUCGAAUAAUACGUUAUAUUUAUUUACUCUGCAGUAUUUAACUAUCUCUUGAAUAAUAAUAAACUAGUAUUUUAAUGAGGUAAUUUUGUCGAAUAAUGUAGGCGAUGUUCAUUUCGAAAAAUAAUAAUGAUCUGUAAUUCGAAAAUAAUUAAAUUCAAUAAAAAAAGUAAGUAUCAUGAUUCUCAUUGAAAAUAUUGCCUAAUUACAAUUUCUUGUUCUAGAAAAUCGAUGAAUCAAUGUGUCUAUGAAGUUCGACCUACAUUUUUCUUCAAAAUAACUUAACCUUUAAAUAUAUCUGGGCCCUGUAUCAAAAAACUAACAAUUACAGUUUACAAGAGACAAUUUACAAGAUUGUGUACCAGAAAACAAAAUAGGCGACAAAAUUGUGUUAUGUAUUUUUAACAAAUACUGUAAAUUGUAGGAAUAAAUCUACAUUUGACAGAAGCACCACGUUUUGUGUUACGCGUUGUUAAGUGUGAAUUUUUGUGGAUUGUAAACUUGUAGAUCUGAUAUCGCCGCUAUACUUAUUCAACCUCGUAUCUGCAACACUCAUUUGAUGACAAAAACACCCGUAUUCGGAAUGAAAGAAAAGCGACAUUUCCAUCAAAUGAUUGUUGCAGAUAUGAGGUUGAGUAAGUAUAGCGACGAUAUAUGUAUGUAAUAAUUGUACACGUAACACAUUGUCUACAACGUAACAAUUUUGUCGACUUGUACACUUGUAAAGGUUUUUGUGAUAGGGCCCGGGUAUAAGAAGAUUAUUUGUCCAAAUAUAAAAUUCCAAUCCUAGUGUAUUAAGAUUCGUGUAUCCGUCUAGCGUACCCCAAGACUCACCUAGAAACACUUCGAUUUCGUUUACGUUUCAAAACCCUGUAUUGCAUAGAGACCCCUUAGCGAAUUAGUGAACUUUUGACAGAUAAUAGUUGUCUGUGUAAUUCGCGUCAAAACUAUUGACCGUUGUAUUCGCUGCCAAAAAUCAUUACUACACAUUUAAAAGACGGUAUUCAAAAUGAUCCACGGACUCCACGGUGUAUGUUUGGCGUCUGGCGUGUCAGUCUGCUCUCUUUAGCUCACUAGGAUGAGCUAUUUAUUAGGUAAGUAAAGUAAAAGUUAAAUUAUUCUGUGAUCAAUGAUCAUUAGCACUACUGACUAGAAUAACUGACUGUCAAAACUAAAUCUGGUGCACAAGAGUGUUAUCUGCCUCUCUCGCACAGUACUAAUAAGAAAGAAACGGCUGGCUAGUCGUUAAAGCCCCUCAGUAGUUAAGUAUUAAGCGCACGGAUAACUGUGAGUAAUGAUUUUUGACAUAAUAUUUUAAUCACAAUAUUUUUAUUUUUAUUAUUAAUUAUAAUCAGUAUUUCAAGCAAGGCUGGCUUAUUAUUUUCGUUUAUUUUUUAAAUUAAUUUAUAUUUUAAUGCAGAUGAUUAUUCUCUGUCAAACCUCUAUGAAAAUAUUAAAAAGAAAAUGAUAUCAUUGAAAAAGGCUGAGGACACAAUUUUUAAGAUAUACAAUGUUUCUAAACAGGGUAAUUUCAUUUACUGUUGUGUAAUUUUGAAUAGUGACGUUGUUAUUCGAUUUUUACUCUUGUCUAUUGAAUAACAAGACUCAUUUCCGUAGAAACACUUUGUUGGCUAACGUUAAAAAACGAGCGUUUUUCUAAGUGCUUGCAAAACACGUAUUGUAAAAAUAUACGCGAUUUUACUCUGUGUAGCUAAACGUAUAAAAAUGUAAUCGAAAUUGUAGUAUAAACGCUAUUUCAUUAUUUCUUUCCGCAGUUGUUAUUAUUAAAAAAUAGAUUUAAUUGAAUAUUAAUGAUAUUAUUUCAUAGGUAAAUAAAUACUUAGUUUUAGGUAAAAAUAUAAGUGUUUUAUAGUGAUUCAGUAUUUAUUUGUACAUGUAAAUCUGUUUAUCACAUAAUAUAGAUAAUAUAACGUAGGCCGAAUGAUCUGUUGGUAUUGAGAAGUGUAAUAUAGAGUUAGGAGUAAAGUAAGUGUUAUUUUCAACAUUCGUAAACAAAAUGUUAAGUGUGGUUGCAAUAUAUAUAGAUACAUUAUCAUAGAACAAGUUAUAAUGAAAUAGAACAAAUGUAUACUAUUGAUUUCCUAUAGGCAAAAUAAUUUUCAAACUAAAAUAGAACGGAAAGAAGAAUUAAAAUAGCGAAAUGACAAAGCAAUCAAUGGAGAUGGCUCGCAUGUACCCACCGACUUGAAUUGGAGUGCCAAUGUGUAUAAUGUAGUCCACUUUAUGUAUGUCUCGCACCGCUUCAACGAUACUAGUUUUCAUUAUAUUAAAUAACAAUAAAUUUGUAUUCUGAAUAACGUCAUUAUCUACUUCAGCACUUCAAUCUAUUAAUUAAUGCUGACAAGUAUAUUUAAACAAUAUACUUUUUAGUAUACCUUUAGACAGUGUUCUAAUAUUGUAUAAAAAUACUGAGAACAGUGUUUUAUGUGCAAAUCUAUUUUUUAGAAAGAGAGGUAUUAAUGCUCGUAUUCUGCCGCCGUAUUUAUUUUAUUUAAAAUAUGUUGUUCUGCUGUCGUAGAUAAAGUAUUGUAUUCAACGUCCCAUAACUAGGUUUUAUAAUUAUCGGGUCUGUUAUUAAACAUAUCGGGCAAAUCUCGUUUCAUAACUUCCACCCUCGAAUUUCCAGAACCCUUGUUAUGUGAUUUUUGCAUAAUGGCAAAUUACGAUACUAGUGCAAAAAUUAGGAAAAUUAGCAAUGAGUGGCGAUAAAUUGAAACACGAUCGAAGGGAGUGUUUUAAAUCGACACGAGUUGCGAAUUACCUAUUUGCACUACAACGUUUUACAGUACAUAUGGCUUUUUAAAUUUUCGUCAUAGUUACGUAUGUGCUAAUUAACGCACUAGUGAGGUAAAGUAGCACCAUAUGUACUGUAAAAUACUAUAUGAGAACAAGUGUCGUCAGCGGUCCGUGAGCCGUCUUCGUUGUGCGCCCCUACCUGUUGUAUUCACGACAUAGGAUAUUAUAAAUUAAGUUAUUGCUUUAGGCUGCGCUGCGUUUGUUCCUUUUACUCGUAAGUCAUAUUCACAGUACCUACGUGACAAUUGUGUAAUUUUUUUUUUGUUUUAAACAUUCACACUUCGGCCGUUGCAAUCGUAUACCUAUUCGCAAUACUUUAAAUUGUAGUUUCUGAAAAAAUGUGUAUUAAACUGGAUUAAUAUGUUUUUUACUAUUAAACUCCUAUGAUACUGAACAUAUUUUAACGGGUUACACACAAUUUUUAUUCGGAAUAUCGCCCGCGCAAUAGAAUGGAUCUAAUUAUAUAUAAAAGGGAAUUGUGCAAUGAAAACUAGUACCUAGUAUGUUUAAAUUUUAAUAUAAUAUGGGCAAAGAUAAUUUAAGUGCAAGAAGUCGCUCUAAAUAAUUAUCUCAUGAAAAAUUAAUAACUAUCGAAAUGUGUGGCAUAGUAUUUAUAUAAACAUGUAUCUUUACGUAAAUCUCAUUGCAACGCAACGAAAUAAAGAUGCCAAUUGCCAACUCGCUGUGUUGUUAAUUAGUUUGGUUAAUUCACCCAAGAUUGUCAACGAACGUCAAGGGCUCUAUACUGAAAUGCAUCGUGAAAUUAAAAUUGAUUACAAUUGUUUCGUUUUAAACAUAACUUUAUGAGUACAGGAUAGAAGUUUAAUAAAAGGCAUAUAAAAUUAAUGAAUUUGAAUAAUUGGUCACAUAAUGGAGUCCCUAAUCAACAAACGCAGCGAAGCCUACGUAUGUGUACGUAAUAUCUUCCAUUAGAUUCGUAGUCGCUGUGAGCUACCGUAUGCAUUACAAUAAAUAUAUAAAUAUCGAUUUAAAUA